CACUUGUAGUGCUGGAGCAAUGCGAGACGAUCGUCCUCAGUCGCGCUGAGCCGGGUUCUCCCAGAGAAACAGGACCAGUAGGAGGCACAGACACAGAUCCGUGAAGAGAUCUGUCUCUGGGGAGUGACCGUGGUCGUGGGGGCUGGCAAUGCAAUCGGGAGCUGGUUUGGAAAUUGAGAAAGGAGGACUAUUUUUGAGGUCAAAUAGCAGCACCCAGUGGUCCACAGCCACGUGGCACAUAGCCCAUCAGUGAGCUGAAAUUAUUCUCAGAGGACAUUCUUUCACAAGGAACCAGAACUCGGUAAUUAGUCUUUAAAGAUGCUGCUGCUUCUGCUCCAGGAAACUACAAAGGCUACUUGGAGUCAAUCCAUUUAAAACAAGACCAAAUUGUUAUAAUGUAGGGAAGCGAAGAACGUCUUGAAAAGCCGGGAAGAGUCAAGGUCUGGGUCAAAACGUUACCAUUCAUACACUCACCACUCAUGGUUGCCUUGGUGAUCAGAACUCCGUGUUGUUUUAGAGGCCUCAUGACAAGGAAAGUAUUCAGUAAUUACAGUAAACAGUGGCUUGCCAUCCUUGGAGCUGAUCUGAAACUGCUGACUGUGGACCU